CAUGCAAGUCGAGCGGAUGACGGAGCUUGCUCCUGAAUCAGCGGCGGACGGGUGAGUAAUGCCUAGGAAUCUGCCUGGUAGUGGGGGACAACGUUUCGAAAGGAACGCUAAUACCGCAUACGUCCUACGGGAGAAAGCAGGGGACCUUCGGGCCUUGCGCUAUCAGAUGAGCCUAGGUCGGAUUAGCUAGUUGGUGAGGUAAUGGCUCACCAAGGCGACGAUCCGUAACUGGUCUGAGAGGAUGAUCAGUCACACUGGAACUGAGACACGGUCCAGACUCCUACGGGAGGCAGCAGUGGGGAAUAUUGGACAAUGGGCGAAAGCCUGAUCCAGCCAUGCCGCGUGUGUGAAGAAGGUCUUCGGAUUGUAAAGCACUUUAAGUUGGGAGGAAGGGCAUUAACCUAAUACGUUAGUGUUUUGACGUUACCGACAGAAUAAGCACCGGCUAACUCUGUGCCAGCAGCCGCGGUAAUACAGAGGGUGCAAGCGUUAAUCGGAAUUACUGGGCGUAAAGCGCGCGUAGGUGGUUUGUUAAGUUGGAUGUGAAAGCCCCGGGCUCAACCUGGGAACUGCAUUCAAAACUGACAAGCUAGAGUAUGGUAGAGGGUGGUGGAAUUUCCUGUGUAGCGGUGAAAUGCGUAGAUAUAGGAAGGAACACCAGUGGCGAAGGCGACCACCUGGACUGAUACUGACACUGAAGUGCGAAAGCGUGGGGAGCAAACAGGAUUAGAUACCCCUGUAGUCCACGCCGUAAACGAUGUCAACUAGCCGUUGGGGAGCCUUGAGCUCUUAGUGCCGCAGCCUAACGCAUAAGUUGACCGCCUGGGGAGUACGGCCGCAAGGUUAAAACUCAAAUGAAUUGACGGGGGCCCGCACAAGCGGUGGAGCAUGUGGUUUAAUUCGAAGCAACGCGAAGAACCUUACCAGGCCUUGACAUCCAAUGAACUUUCCAGAGAUGGAUUGGUGCCUUCGGGAACAUUGAGACAGGUGCUGCAUGGCUGUCGUCAGCUCGUGUCGUGAGAUGUUGGGUUAAGUCCCGUAACGAGCGCAACCCUUGUCCUUAGUUACCAGCACGUCAUGGUGGGCACUCUAAGGAGACUGCCGGUGACAAACCGGAGGAAGGUGGGGAUGACGUCAAGUCAUCAUGGCCCUUACGGCCUGGGCUACACACGUGCUACAAUGGUCGGUACAGAGGGUUGCCAAGCCGCGAGGUGGAGCUAAUCCCACAAAACCGAUCGUAGUCCGGAUCGCAGUCUGCAACUCGACUGCGUGAAGUCGGAAUCGCUAGUAAUCGCGAAUCAGAAUGUCGCGGUGAAUACGUUCCCGGGCCUUGUACACACCGCCCGUCACACCAUGGGAGUGGGUUGCACCAGAAGUAGCUAGUCUAACCUUCGGGAGGACGGUUACCACGGUGGAUUCAUGANCGGGGUGAAGUCG
rnacentral:rRNA from 1 species